ncrna:unclassified sequences S15-Methanomicrobia ribosomal protein leader
AGCACUUUUUAGUGCUGGCAGAUGUAAAUCCGACGUGCCUUUGGUGCACGGCCCAUUCGUGGCUCGGGAUUAC